AAAAACACUUUUGAAAUUUUGAAGCACGCUCAAUACAUGGAGCAAAGAGCAAAUAGUGGAAUUGCAAAUUCUAUAUCUCAAUGAAGCUUUAAAUUAAGAAGAGGAUAGUAAAAACAUAUUUUACGGAUAGUAUGAAACAUAUUCACUGACGAGGAAAAUCGUACUGAAUUGAUAUUUACUCUGGAUUUGACAAUUGGAAAAAUGGAUUAUACUUUACCUGGAAUUGACUAUACUUACGAAAACUACUAAUUGGAAUACUUACGAAAGACAAUAUAUUAAGAAUUUAAAUUUGAAGAAAAGAAAUACGUAAGACUAGGCAGUAUGGUCGUAAGACUAUAGCCUGUCCUAUAAGGACGAAUUAUAAAAAAAAAAAAAAAAAUCAUAACAAAAAUUUAUCAUUUUGUGUUAUUGUCAUUGUCUUAAUAACAUCUAUUGUUUGAAUUAUCAAAUUUACUAGCCACAAAGAUGUAUUUGAAACUGUGUGUACUUGUAUUUGCUUUACUAAGCAUAAGUAAUGUGGAGGCUUCUACGGGCUACGACUUUGGGGACUUCCUGGCUACAGUUUUAGGCAUUGGAAUCGCAGUGGUCGGUAUCCUGGCCUGUCUUGGAAAUUAUGCGAGACAGAAAGCUCGGAAUGAAUUUAUAUAGGAUACAGCCCAAAUUGUUGACGCAUAAUAUGCCUCACAACUAUUGCAAAAGAUAUUUUAAUAAAUGUGGUUAAUUAUGGUUGAAACUACAUAUACUGUAAGAUUGUUUUAUACUUCUUAAAAAGUAUUCCAUUGUAGGUUGUCCAUUAUGUAGGUACCUACUACCUUCCUAUAUCUCAUUAUAAAUGAAAAAUUUGAUAUGCUUUAUUUCACUCAAAGAUCAUUACUCUGCAAUGUAUUGGUGUUUUUCAUAGACACUUCUUAUAAUAAAAAUUUUACAGGAUUACCUUUGGGAAUACAAUGUUCUUUAAAAGCAGCACACUUACCGAUACAAAAUGUUUAGAAAUCUUCAAAUCACAUUCCAUGUUAGAUAAUGUGUAAUGUGUUUCUAUAAAGAUAUUUAUGUACACUUUCAAAUUUAUCAUAAAUUCAUGAUCUUCCAUUGUAAUGCCAUAAGUUGUAAUGCUAUAUUUAUAAAAAUAAGUGCUUUUUAAACACUACAAUAGAAAUGAAAUGUGCUUUAUAUAAUUUAACUUCUAUCUAGUAUCUAUGUAGAACUAAAUUGUAAUUUAAGAUGUAAAAUAUUACAUAUUUGUAUGCUAUAUUGAAUAUUGUAUAUCAAAAUAUGUAACUUUGUAUCUUCUUUUGCAUUAAUUAGUUCCUAUUGAAAAAAAAUUGGGCAUAGAAAGUAUAAUUUGUAGACCUGUUUAUAACCAGUAGUAAAUUAACAUGUUUUAUAUCAGAAUAGCAUAUAUUAUAGCCAACAUAAUAAUAUGCCACAUAUCUGAUGAUUUUUAUUGAAAGCCUUUUAAAUUAUAGGCUUCAAUAUUUAUAAGACAUUUAAAUUGUAUUGUGUUAACAUUUAUAGGUAACUUGGUUAGAGCCAAUUUAUAUAGUAUUGUAAUAACUAUGAAAUAAAUAGAUUGUUGAUA
rnacentral:lncRNA from 1 species